rnacentral:rRNA from 1 species
AGACAGUUCGGUCCCUAUCUGUCGCGGGCGCAGGAUAUUUGAGGGGAUCUGUCCUUAGUACGAGAGGACCGGGAUGGACGAACCUCCGGUGCACCGGUUGUUCCGCCAGGAGCAUAGCCGGGUAGCCGAGUUCGGAUCGGAUAAACGCUGAAAGCAUCUAAGCGUGAAACCGGCCCCAAGAUGAGAUAUCCAUCAGACCCCACUGAGACUAAGUGGUUGAUAGGUCAGGAGUGGAAGUUCAGUAAUGGACGGAGCGGACUGAUACUAAUAGGUCGAAAGUUUGACCAA